rnacentral:lncRNA from 1 species
GGCUCGUCUGGGAUCUGCGCGACUACCCCAGACUCCGAAGACCCCUUGGAGGCUAAAAGACCUACAGGUGAUACAGAAAGAAAUCUGCUCACAGCUGACAGCAGCCUAUGCCCCGGAGACCCCUGAGACAUCCCAUCAGUUCCAGGUCGGAAGCAGCUACACUGAGCCCAGACACUCGAUCCUCGCUGGAAAGGACCAUACCUGGUGCUGCUGACCACCCUGACAGCCGUCAAUUCUCAGCCCUCACCAGCCGUGUACUAGCUGUUAGGGCUGAGAGCUGGGACCUAGAGAGAAAUUCAGUCAUGUUUGUCCUGGGUUCUAUCAAGAUAGGUGUGGGAUAGGCUUGAUUUCUAUUACAAAUGAUGUAACAUUACAUAUGUUAAUACUCCUAACACUUCUUGGGACUGUGCCUCAGGGAUCACAACCUAUAUAAGUUUAGAAGUUCUGAAAGACAGUCAUGACCUUGGUAUAUAGGUUUAGAUAGUGUCCAGAUAAAAUCCUGAUGCUAAAGACUUUUUAGCUGACCUCCAAGAAUACCUAACCUCCCUCUCAGAGGUAGUCCUUCAAAAUAAGAAAAGAUUAGACCUGAUAUUCCUUAAAGAAGGAGUCUGUGUGCUACACUGAAAGAAUGUUGCUUCUAUACAGACCAUUCAGGAGUAAUUAAAGACUCCAUAAAUAAACUUAGAAAAAGGUUAGACAAAAGACAGACAGAAAAACACAUCAGAGAUGGUUCGAGAGCUAGUUUAGUAGAUCUCCCUAGAUGACUACCCUACUCUCUGCUACAGCUGGGCCAUUAUUAAUAAUUUUCUUGGUUUUAGUCUUUGGCUCCUGCGUGACAAACAGG